rnacentral:rRNA from 1 species
AGCUUGCUCUCGGGUGACGAGCGGCGGACGGGUGAGUAAUGUCUGGGAAACUGCCUGAUGGAGGGGGAUAACUACUGGAAACGGUAGCUAAUACCGCAUAACGUCGCAAGACCAAAGUGGGGGACCUUCGGGCCUCAUGCCAUCAGAUGUGCCCAGAUGGGAUUAGCUAGUAGGUGGGGUAAUGGCUCACCUAGGCGACGAUCCCUAGCUGGUCUGAGAGGAUGACCAGCCACACUGGAACUGAGACACGGUCCAGACUCCUACGGGAGGCAGCAGUGGGGAAUAUUGCACAAUGGGCGCAAGCCUGAUGCAGCCAUGCCGCGUGUAUGAAGAAGGCCUUCGGGUUGUAAAGUACUUUCAGCGAGGAGGAAGGCGUUAAGGUUAAUAACCUUAGCGAUUGACGUUACUCGCAGAAGAAGCACCGGCUAACUCCGUGCCAGCAGCCGCGGUAAUACGGAGGGUGCAAGCGUUAAUCGGAAUUACUGGGCGUAAAGCGCACGCAGGCGGUCUGUCAAGUCGGAUGUGAAAUCCCCGGGCUCAACCUGGGAACUGCAUUCGAAACUGGCAGGCUAGAGUCUUGUAGAGGGGGGUAGAAUUCCAGGUGUAGCGGUGAAAUGCGUAGAGAUCUGGAGGAAUACCGGUGGCGAAGGCGGCCCCCUGGACAAAGACUGACGCUCAGGUGCGAAAGCGUGGGGAGCAAACAGGAUUAGAUACCCUGGUAGUCCACGCCGUAAACGAUGUCGACUUGGGAGGUUGUGCCCUUGAGGCGUGGCUUCCGGAGCUAACGCGUUAAGUCGACCGCCUGGGGGAGUACGGCCGCAAGGUUAAAACUCAAAUGAAUUGACGGGGGCCCGCACAAGCGGUGGARCAUGGUGGUUUAAUUCGAUGCAACGCGAAGAACCUUACCUACUCUUGACAUCCAGAGAACUUAGCAGAGAUGCUUUGGUGCCUUCGGGAACUCUGAGACAGGUGCUGCAUGGCUGUCGUCAGCUCGUGUUGUGAAAUGUUGGGUUAAGUCCCGCAACGAGCGCAACCCUUAUCCUUUGUUGCCAGCGGUCCGGCCGGGAACUCAAAGGAGACUGCCAGUGAUAAACUGGAGGAAGGUGGGGAUGACGUCAAGUCAUCAUGGCCCUUACGAGUAGGGCUACACACGUGCUACAAUGGCAUAUACAAAGAGAAGCGACCUCGCGAGAGCAAGCGGACCUCAUAAAGUAUGUCGUAGUCCGGAUUGGAGUCUGCAACUCGACUCCAUGAAGUCGGAAUCGCUAGUAAUCGUAGAUCAGAAUGCUACGGUGAAUACGUUCCCGGGCCUUGUACACACCGCCCGUCACACCAUGGGAGUGGGUUGCAAAAGAAGUAGGUAGCU